UUUUGGUAUUACAGGCGAUAGGAAGUCACGGCCUUCUACACACAAGUUUGCUGAGCCGUUUUAUGAGGAGAUCGCCAUUCAGGAAACUGGGCCCGGAGUCGGAGAUUCGCAAUCCAUCAGCUCAGCAGAUAAAUUAGAAUAUUAUGUGGACGGUGAUUUGCAUGGCGACCAAAAUGAAGACAUUGAAGAAUCCCCUUUGCCGCUUGACGAAAAUUUCGGAGAAGAAUAUGACGAUAUUGAAUAAUACGCUUGAAGAAAUGCGAAUUACAAUCAUUUAGAUUGAACAUUUUAUGGUCAGUUGCAACCACCGUGCAAUUUCCCUGUAUGUUUUGUAAUUCAUUUAAUGUAAAGUUGUAAAUGGAAUUCAACCCCCUCUGUGAUUUGA